GAAUAGAUUUCUUGUAGGCUUUGAGCAACAGGAGGAUUAGCACUGCUAUUCCGAUUCAGAGAUAAGGAUAAACGACAGGCUUUGCCUAAUCAGGUUGAGCAGUUGAUGGAAUGGAAUGAUGUUGAGCGGGUGUUCCUUUGACAUUUCAAGAAAUGUAACCUUGAGUAUACAUCUUCAUAUGUAUAUCUCACACGUUUUCCGCUGCAAAACACUUUGAUUAGGAUAACUCUAUGUUAUGAAGUUGUUACACGUGUUAUUGGGUAAACCACCUUAAUCAGUUCUCUUUUAUGUGUAUGUUUUAUAAGUAUCCAAAUGAUCAUAUAUGAUCCUAGCCUUUUUAUCUAUAAGUGAUAUUUUCAUAUACUUUAAUGUUAA